AUAAAAGUUCCAAAGCACAAGAGUUGAAGAAGAAGCAACCUUCAUUUUGUCAUUCCGUUUGCAGUUUUCCAGAGAAAUAUGACAGUUGUCACCUCUCACAGAGACUGACAGUAUGGUAGAGAGAAUCACAGACUUACAGAUCUUAGAGUUGGAAAGACCACGUUGCUUUCAGAUUAACCUCCUAUGUAUACUCCAACAUACGUAGACAGCCAUCUUCUCUGCAGAGUGCAGGCAGCAUCCAAAGUGAGAGAAACCUCUUACUUUUGAUUCAUCAGAGAAUUGGAAAAAGUAUCCAGCCCCUGGAAAUCAUCAACCUACU